CCUCAGAGCCCUCACCGCGGAGCAGGUUGGGGUUAAUCACUGAAGCCGUUGCUCUUUUGCCAACAUCUAAACUUUGUGCGUGAGACAGAUGUGCAAGGCCAGUUAGAUGUGCCUACCAGUAGAUUAUCUUCAGGACAGUGGCUGCGGGAAGAGGAAGGUACCUCUUCAUUCUCUCUUGUCUGCCUUUCUGCUGAGUGGAGCUGUAGGUAUGUCAGUGAGAGGCCACCAGGUGCCUGCUUCCUACUGUCAGUCAUGGUAAAGUGCUUGCUGGCUUUUUACAAUCUAAUUCAUGCUGGUUUUUCAAUUCUUUCUGGCAGUCACCUUGUAAGUGUGUAGUUAGUAGCAGUCCAAUACUUAACAAUAUAAUAAACUUCAAAAUUUGUUACCGCAGAGCACUAGUUCAUAUUUUUGCAGCUGGAAGUAAGGGUAACAGCAGUCUUAGCCUCAAAGUGUUGGUAGUCAUGGCAAAAGUCAGAUUUAUAGUAAGCAUCUAAAUUAUCUGGAAGAAGGUGUUUAUGAGUUCUCAGUGAAUAAAGGUGAAAUGCUCUGAGUAGUUACCAAUCCUAUGUCUGUCCUCAUCCUCCUUUUGUAUUCCCUUUUGAAGCUUUCUGUAUCAUCAGGCCUGUAAACGCACAAAUUAUGCUGGUUAUACUCCAGACUUGCAUCGAAGUGUGUAGGGUUUAUUCUUUAACCAGAACCGGUACAAAUGUCUGCGUGGAGAUGCCUGCCAGUUUACAGCUCCACUGGUGAAUACCAGGUUGAAAGCUGCUUUUUCCUCCUCCAUGUGGGUAAACAAGGACAACUUGAGCUCGGCUCUAUUCAUCUGCAGUCCUGUCCUAGCUGUCGAAGGUGCAGGAAUCUUAACAAGACAGAGUCGAGCCUUCUCUUGGAAGUCUCAAUCCAGGAGUUUUUCACAACUUUUAGAGGCUGCAGCUGAAUCAAGCCAAAAUGUGAAUGUUUGGAGCACCUUCAUCACAGGAGGACUCGCGCACUGCUGAGAGCCUACAGCAGGAGUUACAGGGCUGUGCCAGCCCUGCAGCAUUCUUUAACACGAAACUGGGAGGCCAGCCCUGGAAAGGGAAAACGCAAGAGCCAUCCAAAUGGAACUGUUCAGAGGAGAGUUUAAUUUAAUUGCUCCGCUAAUCUAGUUGAUAUCUUCAUGCUACUUUAAUUCUGUUCUGGGGUGCGAGUGUUGUAGCUGGCUGACCACGCGGUCAUCAGGCUGAACGAAAAGCAAAGUUUAGUUUUAAUCUUUAGUUUCCGGAUUUUUCCUUUGAGACUUCGUUCAUGGGAGGGUCUGACAAAGUUGCUGUGAAUAUUGAUGCUGUGUAUAUGGCACAUUUUGUAAACGUGAAGCAAACCUGGAUGAAUGUUUUGUAUACCACGACAGUAGCAUUGUAAUCCUGCUCCUUUUUUAUUCUAAAUAAAUAAAUAAAGUACUUGUUUGUAAUGUCUGUAUUUUGAGGGACUGAAUUCCUGGGAGGGACAUGGGGUGCCAAGAGCCGGGACUGGCAAGAAACAGCAGCAUAGUUAAGCACUCAGUCCUUCAGCAUGAGACUUCACACUUAAAAAAAAAAAAAAAAAAAAGCUUAAUAAUAAAAAUCUCACUGUGGCCACUGUCACAGGACACCGGUGGUAAAGCCUGAGAGAGGACCUGGGGUCCGAUACUGCCCUUCAGCCCCACAACCAUUCCCUUCUCCUCGCCAGCAUAGGUUCAAUCCCUCUUUUCCCUGGCCUCCCAAACCGCUGCAUGGCAGCACUCCAGCUCCAGAAAACAAUUCUGCUAAAGAACCAACUUUCUUUGAUGAAAGUGGCCUGAUAUCACCUUUUCUUUUCUUCCGUAGAAUCAAACAGUUCUUGUUGCAGAAAGAGGAGAGUAACCCAGGAGAGCCUGCUUGUAGAAGGGAAUAGACAAUUUUCUGUACGAAUUACGUAUGACAAGGCAAGAGUUACCUUUCAGGUUCAGUUUUGGCAACCGUGACACAGACGGGCAGUUACAGUUCACCACAGUUAGAACCACAGUUCACUCCUACUUAAGAUCAACUCGGCUCCAGCUGCCCCUCUGGGAAGCAGAACUGAGGCACAGGAACCUGCCCAGCCUGUCUCUGCUCUAAACCAAACCUUAAGGACCUGUACGAACGCCUUCCUGGCCCUGCCUUCAUUAGAGUCCCGCAGCUUCUACAGCACCUUGUGAAC
ensembl:lncRNA